AUUGAACGCUGGCGGCGUGCUUAACACAUGCAAGUCGAUCGGUAACGCGGGGGCAACCCUGGCGACGAGAGGCGGACGGGUGAGGAACGCUUGGGAAUCUGCCCUUCAGCGGGGGACAACCCGGGGAAACCCGGGCUAAUACCGCAUACGCUCCACGGAGGAAAGCCGGGGACCGCAAGGCCUGGCACUGAAGGAUGAGCCCAAGUCGGAUUAGCUAGUUGGCGGGGUAACGGCCCACCAAGGCGACGAUCCGUAGCUGGUCUGAGAGGACGAUCAGCCACACUGGGACUGAGACACGGCCCAGACUCCUACGGGAGGCAGCAGUGGGGAAUAUUGGACAAUGGGGGAAACCCUGAUCCAGCGACGCCGCGUGGGUGAAGAAGGCCUGCGGGCUGUAAGGCCCUUUCGGUAGGGACGAAAGCUCUCGACCUAACACGUCGGGAGGAUGACUUAACCUACAAAAGAAGCACCGGCUAACUCCGUGCCAGCAGCCGCAGUAAGAC
rnacentral:rRNA from 1 species